GACGAACGCUGGCGGCGUGCUUAACACAUGCAAGUCGAACGGUAAGGCCCUUCGGGGUACACGAGUGGCGAACGGGUGAGUAACACGUGGGUGAUCUGCCCUGCACUUCGGGAUAAGCCUGGGAAACUGGGUCUAAUACCGGCUAGGACCAGUGCUUGCAUGGGUGGUGGUGGAAAGCUUUUGCGGUGUGGGAUGGGCCCGCGGCCUAUCAGCUUGUUGGUGGGGUGAUUGCCUACCAAGGCGACGACGGGUAGCCGGCCUGAGAGGGUGACCGGCCACACUGGGACUGAGAUACGGCCCAGACUCCUACGGGAGGCAGCAGUGGGGAAUAUUGCACAAUGGGCGCAAGCCUGAUGCAGCGACGCCGCGUGAGGGAUGACGGCCUUCGGGUUGUAAACCUCUUUCAGCACCGACGAAGCGCAAGUGACGGUAGGUGCAGAAGAAGGACCGGCCAACUACGUGCCAGCCGCCGCCGUAA
rnacentral:rRNA from 1 species